rnacentral:misc_RNA from 1 species
GAUGAAGAACGCAGCGAAAUGCGAUAAGUAAUGUGAAUUGCAGAAUUCAGUGAAUCAUCGAAUCUUUGAACGCACAUUGCGCCCGCCAGUAUUCUGGCGGGCAUGCCUGUCCGAGCGUCAUUUCAACCCUCGAACCCCUCCGGGGGGUCGGCGUUGGGGACCUCGGGAGCCCCUAAGACGGGAUCCCGGCCCCGAAAUACAGUGGCGGUCUCGCCGCAGCCUCUCCUGCGCAGUAGUUUGCACAACUCGCACCGGGAGCACGGCGCGUCCACGUCCGUAAAACACCCAACUUCUGAAAUGUUGACCUCGGAUCAGGUAGGAAUACCCGCUGAACUUAAGCAUAUCAAUAAGCGGAGGA